rnacentral:rRNA from 1 species
UACGGGGGGAGCAAGCGUUGUUCGGAUUUACUGGGCGUAAAGGGCGCGUAGGCGGCCAGCACAAGUCAGUUGUGAAAUCUCCCGGGCUUAACUCGGAAAGGUCAACUGAUACUGUGCGGCUAGAGUGCAGAAGGGGCAACUGGAAUUCUCGGUGUAGCGGUGAAAUGCGUAGAUAUCGAGAGGAACACCUGCGGCGAAGGCGGGUUGCUGGGCUGACACUGACGCUGAUGCGCGAAAGCCAGGGGAGCGAACGGG